rnacentral:snRNA from 1 species
UUUCUCUCUGUAAAAAAUCAAUAAAAUAUAAAAAAUAAAAUAAAAUUAGAACAGCCUAGCGAAGAUUAGCCCAGUGCCUGUGAAAGGACGACGUGCAAAUUUGUGAAAUGGUCCAUAUUUUU